AAGGAGGGAGUAAGGGAUGGAAGGAAGGAGGGGGAGUAAAGGGAGGGGAGGAGGUUUUGUAAGUCUGAUGUGAAAGCCCCGGGCUCAACCUGGGAAGUGCAUUUGAAACUGCAGGACUUGAAUACUGGAGAGGGUAGUGGAAUGCCUAGUGUAGGAGUGAAAUCCGUAGAUAUUAGGAGGAACACCGGUGGCGAAGGCAGCUACCUGGACCGAUAUUGACGCUGAGACGCGAAAGCGUGGGUAGCAAACAG
rnacentral:rRNA from 1 species